ensembl:lncRNA
UGGUGGGGGAGGACGUAGAAGAGGGUGGAUUGGGGAAGGUGUUUUUAGUUUGUUUUUAUUGUUAGUAAUAGGUAAUAAAUUAUAGUCGUCUCCCUGUGCUGAGUCUGUUUUGCCCAUCACGAUAAUUGCUGAGUGAUCUUCCUGUCCUUAAUCUCAACACUUGAGCCCUUUGCAUUUUAUUUUCUCCCCCUUUUCCUUUUCGGAGGGGGGAGUGAGAGAGUGGUUGUAAUGGAGCUCAGCUGCCCAGUUGGGUAAAACCAUACGAUUCUAUCUCACAAUUCCACUAGUUUUGAGUGAAUGUUCUUUUGUAUUCAUGGACCGGUGAGUCAAUGUUAUGAAUCUUAAAAAAAAAAAAAAAGGGUGGGGUGGGAGAAGAGGUCCCAAACAAGAAUUGAAAAACAAAACAUUAAAAAUAGGAUUUUUUUACAUUUUUUUCCCCCUAAAUGCUGAAUUAGCAUUGUAAGCACCACCGUCUUUGUUCCCUGGAUCUGGAAUUUCUUAUGUGUAUCACUGACACUGGCAUUCCUGCCAUAUUUAUGAAGACAAGUUACAGUAUUGUUUAUCUGCAUAAUACCAGUCUGCUUGAUCAACGCUUAAUUAUAGUACCAAUCUUCUAUAUUUUUCUGAGUGCUGCCAGCUUCAACACUUCUUCAGGGAAUCUGUCUUUCUCUCCUGAGUCACCAGAAUUACCUCUUCUGCUUCUCCAACCAGACACUGUGGGUAGUGAGAAGGAAAGGAGAAUAGAAGAAGGGUGGUCUAGGACAGGAAGUGGAGAAAUGCCUUCAUUGGUCAAAGUUGGAUUUAAGUAUUUCAGGAAAGUAAACUACUUAAUAGAGAAGAUUGUGGCUGGUUCUUCAAAUUAAUUCAGCUUUCAUCGCUCAUUGAGGCAAGAGUUUAAUAAGGUAAGAAAUAUGUAGCUCAGCACCAUUAGGGAUUAGAUAUAUCUGAAGGCAAUAUAACAAGUCUUGAAGACAGAGAAGUUAAUUUUAUUGUAACAAAGAGCAGUUAAUGGUCAAUGUUGUUGACUGGUAUAGGAGCUUAAACUAGUUCUUGUCAGGAAUAAGGCUUUGCAAGGAGUCACCAUGUAUUUACCAUUUAAUUUGGUUCAUAUGAUCAAAGCCUGGGCCUUGCUGAGUUUCUUCAUAGCUCUGAGAACAUAAAGAGGAGCAGUCUGUCUUCUGUGUCUGUACAGAUGCAUAUGGUGGUGCUAGGAGGGCACUCCAGAGGUACUGCUCAGGUGCUUGCAGUAAGACCCUUUCUGGGGAUAUGGAGUCUCCAGAGACCUAACUGAAAUACGUUAACUGUUUGUCUUCUAACUGCUUAUUACAAAGCUGAUAAGGUUUUGCUAUUUUUUGUGCGCUUUUUUUUUUUUUUCUGCUUCCUUCCACCCUCCACCAGAAGGGACUGUUUUUUGGCAGAAAAUAGCCAGGAUUUUUCAGGUUUUUCUUUACCCCCAGACAAAUGUGGCACUUGCCAUAUAUAUAUUUUUUUUUUUUUUUCUGCUUCCAAAUCAUGAAUGUCUGAAGUCAGGUUGAUUAUGCUUCCUGGUAACACUUGAGCUUUUUGAUAAAAUAAUGAUGAUGCAAGCAUAUUUAUCAGAUGAUUGUCUCAAAAAUUUAGUCUUAAAAAGAUUUUUGAAGACUCCAUGUUACACUAGCAGGCAGCCAAAAUGACUAAAGUCCAGAGUAUCACUUUAAGAAACACAAAAUUAUCACAGAAACAAUAAAGAAAGCCUCAAGAGAGGUCA